rnacentral:rRNA from 1 species
CUGCUGCCUCCCGUAGGAGUCUGGGCCGUGUCUCAGUCCCAGUGUGGGGGGGCCUUCCUCUCAGAACCCCUACGCAUCGUCGCCACGGUGGGCCGUCACCCCGCCGUCUAGCUAAUGCGCCGCAUGCCCAUCCGCCACCGGAUCGCUCCUUUGGCCACCGGAGGAUGCCCUCCGGUGGCGUCACGGGGUAUUAGGCCGCGUUUCCGCGGGUUAUCCCCCUGUGGCGGCCAGGUUGCAUACGUGUUACUCACCCGUGCGCCGGUCGCCGGG